GUUAUAAGAUUUUGAAUUUUUACAUGAUGGAUUAUCAUCUCGACGCGGAGUUGAGACAGAUGUCAAGCAAAGCUACUAUGGAAUAGUAGCUUUGAUAGUUUCACUACUGUGUUAGAGUUGCUCGAUGAUCAGCAUGCUGAUAUGCUGCGCCAAUCCUUCCUGUGGGCCUUGUACCCGUUGAGAGAUCUGCAGUACUCAGGUCAGAUUUUUGAUGCACUUCCAUGUCGAUUGUUGAGUGCAGUCGACGGUGAUGCCCUCCAAUUCACAGUCGGGGGCAAAGUCGCCAGUUUUUCGAUGUUCGAGUUUGCUCUGAUCACGGGAUUAAAGAUUACGAACAAUGAAGCAGCGGGUGAUGAGACCCGGAGAAGAAAUAGGCUACAUGACGCUUACUUCGAGGGAUAGGGUACUGUGCUUCUUACACAGCUGUUCGACGCAAUUAGGAGGUGUGAUCAGAUGUUAGACAGACUGAAGUUAGGUCUGAUCUAUAUCCUUGAGAGCGUGAUGCGGUGUCACCACAAGAAGACUGCGAUCGACCUCUUCCAUCUGGAGAUCGUUGACGACAUCGAUCGUUUCAACAACUAUUCGUGGGAUUGGAGAUGUUUUGAAGACACCGUACACAUCUUUACCAGAUCGCACUCGAAGCCGAAGGGGGUCGUGCGUAAGUACGACACCUAUGGAUUGCCCCUGACGGUGUAGGUAAAUGGUUAAUAUAAUGAAUGUUAAAACUUUUUUCCUAUUGAAUUUGUAUAUAAUAAUUGUAUGUAUUGCAGAUCUGGACGUAUAAGAUUGUCCCCCUAUUGGGUGCCCGCUUUGC
rnacentral:lncRNA from 1 species